UACGGGGGGGGCAAGCGUUGUCCGGAAUUAUUGGGCGUAAAGAGCUCGUAGGCGGUCUGUUGCGUCCGCUGUGAAAACUCGGGGCUUAACCCCGAGCCUGCAGUGGAUACGGGCAGACUAGAGGUAGGUAGGGGAGGAUGGAAUUCCCGGUGUAGCGGUGAGAUGCGCAGAUAUCGGGAGGAACACCGGUGGCGAAGGCGGUUCUCUGGGCCUUACCUGACGCUGAGGAGCGAAAGCGUGGGGAGCGAACAGG
rnacentral:rRNA from 1 species